AUAUAUAUAUAUAUAUGGGUAGUUUAAUGGAGCUGGGAGAUGGAGCUGAGCUAAAUAGGGAGCGCGUCCCUCUAGACGUUAUUAGGCUACAUGGAGGCGCACUUCCGUCCCGCAUAAUUCGGUUUAGGGGAGCAGGAGCAGGGAAGGGGACUGAAGCGUCACCUCAGACAAAGCAAUAUAUUUGAUUUACUGUAGAGUUUAAUUUAUACCUGGACGCUGGGUCGGAAGAUGGUAGCAAAACAAAGAAUCCGCAUGGCAAACGAGAAGCACAGCAAAAACAUCACUCAGAGGGGGAACGUGGCGAAGACCCUGCGACCGCAGGAGGAGAAAUAUCCGGUGGGGCCAUGGCUUUUGGCACUCUUUGUAUUUGUUGUUUGUGGAUCAGCCAUCUUUCAGAUAAUUCAAAGUAUCCGAAUGGGAAUGUGAGUCCCAGCGUUCCUCACGUUCCCUGUCCUUCAUCUGAAUGAGAUUUUUGGGUGACUGGAUGCAAUCUGAAGGAAGAGCGAUCUGUGAAAUCCUGUUUGUGGGUCAGAGGCUUGUAUGCUCAGCUGGAUCUAGUGUACAACUCUACAUGACAUUGUCACAUGUUUACAGUGUCCCUGGAGGAAGGGAGUACAUGCUUUUCUACAAAACCACAGUUGCUGUCGACACAUCUUAUUUUUGGUCAUAUUUAUUUGUGAUUGCUGAUUGCCAUGAUCUAUUUCUCUAUUUAACCGUUUGCGUGAGCCUUUUUCAAAUAAACGUCAAACACAUUUGGAUAAUGCCUCAUGUCAGUUUUGCUCUUUCAAAACAAGUUCACGUUUGUGAACCAUCAUGAAUGUUUCAGUAAAUUUAAAAAUGUACAUUCGUCAUGUGAAAUCAGCAGACAGUCCCACUGGAGCAGAUAACAAUCAGAGAUCUUUCUGAAAUGUAUGGGUCAUCUGGAUGUUAAACUGCAACCAGUCUUGAUCCUGGUUCAUUGAACAGAAGUGUGUUCUAGCUUUGCAGUCUAUAAGAAAACAUGGAUGGAGUGAAGCAAGCAAAAAUAUUUUAAAUUCAAUCAAUGUUUAAAUUUUUCCAGAAUCAUAAAGAGAGACUUGUUUAGAUGCCGUUCCAUAUAUAUGCUUUAUGCAUUGUAGAGUUUAAAUUAAAUUACGAACACUACUAUCUUAGUGCACCAUUGAUGUUGAAAAGACAAAAAAAUAUACAAAUCCAACUGACAUCAGAAACUUGACACGACGUUGAUUUGAUGUAAACUGAACGUCAAACAUAAUGGCAUACAU
ensembl:lncRNA